AUUGAACGCUGGCGGCAUGCCUUACACAUGCAAGUCGAACGGCAGCGGGGACUUCGGUCCGCCGGCGAGUGGCGAACGGGUGAGUAAAGUAUCGGAACGUACCUUUCAGUGGGGGAUAACGUUGCGAAAGUUACGCUAAUACCGCAUAUUCUGUGAGCAGGAAAGCAGGGGAUCGCAAGACCUAGCGCUGAUUGAGCGGCCGAUAUCAGAUUAGCUAGUUGGUGAGGUAAAGGCUCACCAAGGCGACGAUCUGUAGCGGGUCUGAGAGGAUGAUCCGCCACACUGGAACUGAGACACGGUCCAGACUCCUACGGGAGGCAGCAGUGGGGAAUUUUGGACAAUGGGGGCAACCCUGAUCCAGCCAUGCCGCGUGAGUGAAGAAGGCCUUCGGGUUGUAAAGCUCUUUCGGCCGGGAAGAAAUCGUAUGGGUUAAUACCCUGUGCGGAUGACGGUACCGGCAUAAGAAGCACCGGCUAACUACGUGCCAGCAGCCGCAGUAA
rnacentral:rRNA from 1 species